rnacentral:tRNA from 19 species
GCCCUCAUCGUCUAGUGGCCUAGGACACUGGCCUUUCACGCCGGCGACCGGGGUUCAAAUCCCCGUGAGGGCGCCA